rnacentral:lncRNA from 1 species
AUACAAACAACGGAAGCAUUACAUGUCUGAGUACAUACACCUACAAAAGGAAAAGACUAAGAAGCCUGACUAAAUACGACCCUCCCAAGGGUACAAGAUCGUAGCUGGGAUACAAGCUACUCGUCGAAGUCACUAGUGUAACCAACUGCAAAACAUAAAUAAGCAAACGUGAGUACGAAGGUACUCAGCAAGUCUUACAUAAGAACUAUCUACAUAUGCAACAUUAUCAACAAAGGGGGUGGUGGAGUUUUAACAGCAGCAAGCCAACUUUGACUCACUGGCUAACCUAUACUACGAGUAUCAGAAACUUCUUUGAGGUGAGAAGACGCACACGAGUCCACAUAUUCACCAUAUCAAUACUCCACUAUGGAUCUAUUCCCGUCUCCCUACGAGAAGGCCAUCCAUAGCACUCACGCUUAUCUUGCGGAUUUUAAAGUAUCCACUUCAAGUUGUCUAUGUACUACAUAAGUCCUCCAAGUUUCCAUAUCCGAGGAAAACAGCUAUUCGAAUAGAUAAUGUUAACCCUCCAGGGGUGUACUUCUUCACACACGCUCUCGUCACUUAUCGCCCUGUACACGUCAUGUACCUCGGCAACCUUCAAGAAGAAGCCGGGCAAGGGUGUCGGCCACGACCUGACUAACCACACAAGUCUCUCAACCAGGUUUAUCGCCUAUUCGAGUUCCAUCCGCAAGGAGUUCCGGCCAAAGUCUCCAGUACGGCCCCAAACGACGUGUGCAGGGUUCCCAAGCCCACCAUCCGGGUGCCACUUGGUACACCGUGCCACAGUGCCUAGUUUGUCCCAAGCCCGUCUCAUCGGACACCACCUGGUAGACAAGUAGCACUACCUAAAAACGCCAGAAACUAGUUGCAACUCCUGGACAGAGAUCAAGUGGGUUAAUAAGCCGAGAGGGGCCGGAUAACCGGAACCCAAUGUGUGGUAGUAACUGGACUUGGAUAACAUACACAGAACUCAGUGCUUAGGGACGGUUCCAAUGAGACAACCCACCAUGUACUCGUACAUGGCCUCUCAUCGCUACCUUUACCAAAACGUGUUCACACACUUAGCCUUUAUCGGUAGGACAUGUUCACCACUCUGAUUCAUUCCCGAUGAAUCAGACCUGACACAACUCUAAGCAUAGCUGGCAUAAGGAAAACAAGCAUGGAUGAGUAGGCACAUCAAGGCUCAAGCAACUCCUACUCAUGCUAGUGGGUUUCAACUAUUUACUGUGGCAAUGACAGGUCAUGCAGAGGAAUGGGUUCAACUACCGCAGCAGAAAGUAGCAGUUGAAUCUGUCGGAUUUCGGGUUCCGGCAGACCCUUGAGGUUCGAACACUGGGGUGUGCGCGGAGAUUUCGCCUCCUACCUACCUGCACCCCUCCGCCUCGCUAAGAUCUGAGCUAUGGAAAGAACAACACAAGAGACACAAGGUUUAUACUGGUUCGGGCCACCGUUGUGGUGUAAUACCCUACUCCAGUGUGUGGUGUGGUGGAUUAGCUCUUGGGCUGAUGAUGAUGAACAAUACAAGGGAGAACAGCCUCGCGAGGGUCUGUUCUUGGCUGGGGGGAUGAACUGCUGGGAGGAGUUCAGUCACCCUUCUCUCUCUCUCUCUCUCUUCUCGAUUAUCCCUUCUCUAAACCCUAACCUCUCAGCCCCUCUAUCCUUCGAUCCUCCAAUCCUUCUCUCCUCCCCCUCUUCCAUUCUUCGGGUGGCUGGUCUUAUUUAUAGAGGCCCUGGUCCUCUUCCCAAAUAUCGAGCGAGAAGGGAGCCAACAAUGGCGGGCUAAUUUGAAAGGGGACAGCUAGUACAGGCUAUCCUGACAAAAGUAGUCUUCGCCUGCACAAAGCUCUGGUGGUGACGCCAUCUUGGGCUCCAUGAUGACCUCCGUCUUGCAGUCCUCCUGGUCUUGGUCUUGUUGCACCGACACGGCAACCUUUGCCUGAUGCCUCGGUACUCCGCGGCUGCGCUUGCCCCCUUUGCACCAAAGAGGAAAGGAGGACACUGCGCGGGCUGGCACCCGCCUGGCGCCCUUGGUCGUCAUGGCUUGCGUCACGGGCACCUCGUGAGGUACCCCGCCUUGAUCUCUCCGCCUCCUCGUGAGCCAGCCUGAUGAGGCCAUGCCUAAGGAAGCUCCGCGUCGUCCGCCCCGCGAGGCUUGGCCCCUCGCGAGGGUCUUGGGUUUGUGUUGGUGAAGAUGGGUCGUGCUGGACCCCCUUUUGAGCCACGCCACAGGCCGCAGGCAGGCAAGUAUGGGGACCCCUGUUCCCAGAAUGCCGACAGUAGCCCCCGGGCCCAAGGCACGCCCGGACUUGGCCGUGCAGGGAGGCGGAAGGGCAAGAGCGAAGCGCCGCGGGCCCUAACAGCCUGCGGCCUUGGGCGUCGUGUGGCGGUUGAUUGGACGUGGGCGCCUUAGCAACCGCGCGAGUUGAUAAAGGAGCGGCAUCCGCCUAGGCUUUGCUCCUUGCUUUCCCCGGUUGCUGCUCAGAUCCCCUUUCUUGCACCUCUCCUUCCCUCCCCCAAAAUUUCCAGAUCUACUCCGACCGUGUGACCUAGGAAGGCAUGGCGCCUCGUCAGCCCCCGGCCGUAGCUUGGUACUCGUUUGCCCUGGACCCGCUGAACAUGUCGGAGGCGAGCCUUGCCCGGUUGCGCCGGAUGGCGACGGCGCGGGGCAUCAACAGGGCGAAGGUGUUCAAGGCCGGCUCCGCCACCCCUGAGGGUCAAGGGAGCACCUUCUAUCCAUUCUUCGUAAGUGCCAUUGCUGCUGGCCUGGUGCCUCCCUUCUCCGAGUUCUUCUUCUCUGUCCUCCGCCAUUAUAAGCUAUAGGCUCUGCAUCUCCACUCCAACUCCGUCCUUCUCCUGGCAAUCUUCGCCUAUUACUGCGAGGCUCACGUAGGGGUGCAGCCCUCGGUGGCCUUGCUGCGCCAUUACUUCUACCUCCGGACCUCUCGUGGUCCUGCUUCCGCGUGCGCAAGCUUCGUCGCGUACGGUGGCACCAUUGCCAUUUCGAACCCCGGGAAAAGGAUUGUGGGCUUCAGGAGCAAGUGGGUCUUGGUGGAUGCUGGGCGCAUCCACCCUCGGCUGAUCUUGCCCAUGGAGCAGCCCACGAGCUCCAGCGAUUGGGGUCGAGCGGAGCUCGCGGACCCCCGCGCGAAGCUGGUGUUGGAGAAGAUGGAUGCGGAUCUGAGGCCGGCCAACAUGGCGGCGGCGAAGCUGACCGGCGCGUCGCUGCUGAGGGAAUUCCUGGAGCACCAGCUGGCUCCGCUUCGGCAGUACUCACUUCCGAUGUGGAGGCCCCGUCCGAGCCCCGCGGCCUUGGCCGACGGAGAUCUGGCUGCGGUCCUCCAAUCUCUGGUCGGGGGCGAUGUGGCGAGGUUGGAGGGCGCUCCUACGCCCUUGUUCCUCUGCGACGACUAGGAGCAGGUAGUGGAGUCCAUGCCCGUCUUCAACGGGGAUGGGCCCGUGCCCAUGGAAACUCCCGAGGAACCGGUGGACGUGCCCUCCGAUGACUCCAGCGAAGAGGAGGAAGGAGGGGAGUGGGAAAAAGGGCCUGACUCCGGAGCGACUGACGGAGAGUCGAGGCCUCCCCUCCCCCGGCGCAGGUCCCGCGUUCUCCGCCUUUCUCCGAGCGAUGACGACGAGGAUGACGACGAGGAUAACGACGAGCAGGACGGCGGGAGCUUGCCCCCGAUCCCGAAGAGGCACAGGACCGGGCUGAUCUCCCGCGGGUCUGCCCCGGCCCCGAGGCGGACCGCAGACGCACCUUUCGCUUCCAAGCUUCCCGAGGUUGACCCUUCCAGCCGGCUUUCAGGCUUCAAAUUUGGCCGGAGGCCGCUUGAGCUCACUGGCGAUGACCCGUAAGCAUUUGAUUCUUGUCUUUAUUUCUUGCUCUGCUUCUGAGGCUUGACGUCCGCAUCUCUUGGAUAGGCUGGCGCGCGCAGCAAAGAAGUCGAAGGGAGCUCCUGAGGUUCCAUCCGUGGCAGCGCCUCUGCCCGCGAAGGAGGGUGACCGCGACGCACAGGCUUCUCCUGCCCGGUCGUCCUCGCGAGGCCUGGCUGAGCCGGCUGGGGCGAGCUCAGCCCCCUCGGCCCAAGUGACUCCCGAGGUGUCCUUGCCUGCCGCCGCCACUACAGCCGUUGGGGCGCGGCAGACUCCGCCUCCGGAUGUUGUGGUCGCGCUGCCGCCUUCUCCUCCUACUCCACCAGCUGCUGUCUCUCCGACUCCUUCUGCCAUUCUGGAUCGUGCUGUUGCUGAGCUGGACCGGCUGCAGCAGGAUCUUCUUGGCGCCAACCCUCGCUUGGUGGCCGGGCGCUUGGAGCUGGCUUCAGGAUGGGUUCGCUCCGACGCUUCGAUUCGGGCGGCGCUGGUCCAGGCCUCGACGGCUUGCGACGAGGAGAAGCAGACCGUCCUUGAGGCGAAGGCUGCUCGUGAUGCAGCCCUGGGGGAGGUGGUCGACGUCCGUGGACGUUGCAAGGCGCUAGAGGACGAACUGCAAGACUUGUCGGACCAGCUCGCGAAAGAGGUCCGCCUUCGCCAAGAGCAGGAAGAAGGCGUGAAGGCUCGCGAGGCGGCCGUCAAGGAGAGGGAGGUCAAGCUCAGGAAACGCCGCGACCGCCUAGGCGCGCUGGAGCAGGAGUUGGGGGCGAGGAAGGCCAAGUUGGACGACAAGGCCUUGGUUCUUGCCGAGGACCGCGUGGCCUUCAUGGAGAUGAAGGCGAAGGCACGCUCCUCGCUGAGGACGCUUUACGACAGCGGCCUGGAGAGCCCGCUGGCUGGCGCCAAGGACGGCCCCGCCAAGCUGCUUCCCUUCCUGGUUCGCGCUCUUGAAUAUGUCGCCCUUGGCCUUGGCCCCACGGCCAAGGCCGAGGCGCGUGUCCUGUCUUCUGCAGCACUGACGCAGGUCCUCACCCACAUCUACCUUCGCGAUCCCGGCGUCGACCUCGACAGCCUGCUGGAGCCAGUAAGCGGUGACCGUGUCGCUGCCGCUGCCGAGGCCGUGAAGGGUCGUGCGGAGGCUUUGCUGGGGAAGUUCCGGGCCUUCAGCACCAAGCCGAAGCAAGGCGCUGCCGACCCCACUACUCCAUGAGGCGAACCCACUCCGCGCUGCUCCACCGCCGACAAGUGACUCCUUGUGGCCCCUGUCCUGCCUUUAAUUCCUGCACAUGUAUCAUGCCUCGGGGAGGCGUUUAAACUUGUGUUUGGCAUUGAGAUAACAGUGUGGACUGUAAUAUUUGCUUUUGAAUUCCUUGAAAUUUGCGCUUUUCCUUCCUACUUGCUUAUGUUCUACGCCGGCAGAGCCCGGCCCCGCGCAUACCUCACCCAGCGUUGGUCCCGACCGGAAACCAGGACGGGGCCAAGGAGUGAGGGGCUAUGUGACAAGUUAGGCUCCUGAGUCGCGAUGCUCAGGAGUCCCCCUUGGCGCACGAACAACAAGUAGGGAGGUGUGAUGUGGGUGGAUCUACCGUUCUACGUCUGCAGAGCCCGGCCGCGCGCAUACCUCAAUCGCCGUUAGCCUUUCGGAAUUAAGGAGUGAGGGGCUACGUGACCAGUUAGGCUCCUGAGUCGUGAUGCUCAGGAGUCCCCCUUGACGCUCAAACAACCUUCGUACCUUGGCUCCGCUCGGGGAGAGACGCGCGACGAACCAGGCCCGGGGGGACCUGGCUGGGCGGCGUGCGUCUGGGUGUGACCCAGGCGCAGCCCCCGUGCCCAGCCCCCUCGCGCGGCACUCCCGAGGGGAGGCGUUACGAUGAGGCUACACACUGAGCUCUGGGCUCCCUAAGGUUGAUGCGGCCCGGGGGCCACCCUCAGUUGUUUAUCACCAGCGUGGAGCAUAGCGCUUCCGUAUGUGUACGGGCAUAGCCGCUCCUCGGCAGUGUCGUUAGCCAGCGCGGAGCAUGGUGCUUCCACUGGUACGUGGGAGGGGGCCCCCCUCCGGGAGGAGCCCCCGGGGCGUGUACAGCCCCGCCCUGACACGUGGCUGGCACGGUAGGGCCUGGCGAGGUGUAUCUGGGCACCCGUGAGCCAGCGCGGGACUCACGGGGCCCUACCUCUAGGCGGGUUGCGCCUGGCACUGGGCCUUAUCUUGUGAUGUCUCCCUGCAAAUUUGGUUAGAUGUCGGCACUCUACGUCCUCGGGUCCCGGCCCUCGAGCUGGUCUCAGUCGUCGCUGGUAUGCCAGGUCGCGAUGCCGUGGACAAGGCUAGAGCGUGAGGGCUGGAGAGCCAGUAAGAGCCCUGAGUCGCGAUGCUCAGGUACCCCCCCCCUUUAACGUGCAAGUGGUCGGCAUGGAGAAGAGGAGGUGCCGUGGACCAGCAUCAAAUAAUCAAGCAUGGUGGGUCUAACGCAUAACCGGAAAUAAACGCAAAUGGGAUACAUGCCGCUGGGCCUGGCCCGAGCGACUUGGGGAUCAUGCAGCCCAAGGGGCGCCCCCAACAAGGUAAGCUAACAACAUGAAAUGAAAGGGAUACACGCCGCAGGGACGGACCCACGCGGCCUGGGAAUAAUGCAGCCCUGGGGGAUGCUCCCAGCUGGAAAUGAAACUUGAAAGAUGUCACCGGAUGACGCUGAGGACGAAGGAGCGUUGGUGUAGCAGACUCGGUGGGCUGCGGAAGUCGAUCCUCACGAGCCCCCAGGCCCAGGGGCCUCGGGAAGAUCCGGAGGCGCUGGCGGCUCCUCGCGGACCAUCUCCAUCCCCGCCAGGGCUGCGGAACGCUGGCCUCUCGUGCCUCCGUGAUGCCCCUCAUGAGGCGCUGGUACGUGGUAGCCGCGUUCGGCAAGCCGUAAGGCAUGCGAACGUAGCUGUGGGGUGGACCUCCGCAGCGCCCCACUCGCGAGGGCCAGAGGCGCUCCAGAGAGGCGACUCGGUUGAGCCCUGGUAUGUCGAUGCAGAUGCGCAUCCCACCAUCCUCGCCUGGAUGGGGAGCCACUGCUGGUAGGCGGCGGCCGCCUUUCAUGACUCUUGACUCCUGUAGCUCCUGAAUGGCCUUGCUGACGAACUCCUGAGGGUCUGGCUCUCCUUGCCUUGCUCCUUCUUGAGGGAAACGUGCUUCGAAACACGCCUCCAUGUGGUGCCCAAGCGCCUCCCUCGUGACCCUAGCUAGGUCGGUGGCCCUCCAGGGGAGAGCCCCCGAGCCCUGCAUGAGGGGGGCGCCAGGCGCGCUUUCCUAUGCGAUGGAAGGGGGUUCCCCCUGGGCAAGCGCGGGCCUAGAGGGGCCUUCCUCCUGAGUGGUCAGGCCGGACGAUGUCUUCUUCUUCUUGGGGGCGGUCUCGGGAGGCCUCCUGCUUUCGCGAUCCGGGUCUUCCAGUGACGCGGCCUGAAAGGCUCGUUCCAGGGAACACACCGCGUCCUUCUCUUCAUAGGGCACCAUGAUGACUCCGCCACUUCCUGGCAUCUUGAGGACGUUGUAGCCGUGGUGAGUUACGGCCAUGAACUUGGCCAGCGCUGGGUACCCAAGGAUGGCGUUGUACGGCAGGCGAAUGUGAGCGACGUCGAAGUCGAUGAGCUCGGUGCGGUAGUUGUCGCGUGCCUCGAAGGUGACAGGGAGGCGGACCUGCCCAAUCGGGACCGUGGAGCCGUCGGUGAUUCCAGAGAAAGGCUUGGUUGGCUGAAGCUGGCUGUAGGGCACUUGGAGAUUGUUGAGUGUUUCCACGGACAGGACGUUGAGCCCUGCCCCGCCAUCGAUGAGGGUCUUGGUGAGCACCACAUUGCUGACGAUUGAGGAACGGAGCAUCGGGAGGACUCCGGCUGUAGCCGUACACUUGAGCUGAUCUGCUGAGCUGAACGUGAUGGCGCACGCCGACCACCUGAGAGGGCGCGUGGCUUCGAGCCUGGGGAGGACUGCGUUCACUUCAUGGGCGAACUGCUUCAAGAUGCGUUGAGAGGCUGGGGCAUGAGCCCCGCCCAGGAUGCAAGCGAUCGCGCGCGGCUCCUGGAAGCCCCGAGGCCCCUUGUCCUGGUGGAGGUCCUCGUUUCUCCUUGGCUGCGGCGGCAGCGGAGGGAGGCCUGCGUUUCCUUGCGGGCGCGGUCCUUGCGAGGUUGAUCGCGCCACCCUUAGCGCGGGUCAUGGUCUUCCCAGCGUCCUGCGUUCCUUCCUCCUCCUCGACCAUAGCCCCGGUCACCGCGGUCAGGGCGACGGCCAAUCCUUCCUUCUCGCACGGCUCGGAGCUCUUGACAUUCGUUGGUGUUGUUGGUGUGGAGGCCGUGUUACACACAGUACCGGCUGCCCUUGGAAGGUUCGGGCUGAUCUCUGCCCCGCUUGGUGUCUGGUUCUGCCGCGAGCACGGUAGCCCCCUUGCGCUUCACAUCCUUGGCCUUGGGCUUCUUCUCUUCUGGGUCUGCGGCAGGCAGCUCGAGGAGGAAGAGAUGCCCUUCCUCAGCCCUGGCACACUUGGUUGCCAAGUUGAACAGCUCCAAGGAAGUGCACAGGUCUUCAUGCAUCGCCAGCUCCUCCUUCAUCUUGACGUCGCGCACGCCGUCGGAGAAGGCUGAGAUGAUGGCCUCCUCAGUCACCUUGGGAAUCUUGAGGCGUGCGUUGUUGAAGCGCUGGAUGUACUUCUGCAGGGUCUCCCCGGGCUGUUGCUUGAUGCGGCACAUGUCGCUCACGGCGAGUGGCCGGUCGCGAGUACCUUGGAAGUUGGCGAUGAAGCGGGUGCGCAUCUCGUCCCAGGAGGAGAUCGUGCCUGGAGCCAGGUUCAGGAGCCAGGUGCGGGCCCCGUCCUUGAGCGCCAUGGGGAACCAGUUUGCCAUGACCUUCUCAUCUCCGUUGGCAGCUUCGAUGCCCAGCUCGUAGAGCUGGAGGAACUCUGCAGGGUCAGCCGUGCCAUCGUAACAAGGAGGCAGGUCUGGCUUGAACUUGCCGAGCCACGCGAUGUUGCAUAGCUCGGUGGUGAAGGCGCGGCAGCCUGCUGUGGCCACGAGAGGCCUUGGGUGACGGAGAGCUUGGUCUUGCAUGUCCCCACGCGCUGCAGCUGUGAGCAGCGCGGGGUCUUGACGCGCGGGAGCAGGAGCAUGGUCGCGACGUGCUAGAGCAGGGAGCGCUCGGGCAGCUUCUUGCGGGCGAGGGACUUCUUGGCAGCUGUGCUCUUGCCGCGCUGGCACCUGACGGAGCGGGUUCCGCCCAGGGGCCACGCGCCUUGGAGCCAUGGCGCCUUCCUGAGGAGGAGGCGGCCGGGGCGCCGCCGGAGCUUCAUCGCCCGCGCGGGGCGGGGUGUAGUGCAGCGGAACGGAGGACGCAGGAGAGCCCCCUGCGACACGGACGAGCUCGACGACGCGGUCGAGCCAUUCUUCGUAGACGUCGUCGACGAGACGGUAGCACAGUAGCUCGUUUGCCGCGAUGAGCGCAGCUCGAGCCUCCAUGGGCGCGCGGAGCGCGCGGGACGAAGAACCAGCUGGGGUGAGCGAGGGAGUUGCGGUGCGGCCGUCUUGCUGCACGGACGGAUGCUGAGACGAUGCUUGCUGCUCGUCCCCCGUCGGGCCGGUGGUGGCGUUGACGGCAGGUGACGGGGAACGGCGAGGACGCCCGCAGACAGGGGUCGUCUGGGUGAUGCGGGAAGCGAGAGCGGCCCGGCGCUCGGCGCGGGCCUGACGAGCGUCAGACAUGGGCGUGAUGGUCGGAGGAGAACGGGGUGGUGGAAGACGAAUUCCGGCGCACCCCUACCUGGCGCGCCAAAUGUCGGAUUUCAGGUUCCGGCAGACCCUUGAGGUUUGAACACUGGGGUGCGGGCGGAGAUUUCGCCUCCUACCUACCUGCACCCCUCCGCCUCGCUAAGAUCUGAGCUAUGGAAAGAACAACACAAGAGACACAGGGUUUAUACUGGUUCGGGCCACCGUUGUGGUGUAAUACCUUACUCCAGUGUGUGGUGUGGUGGAUUGCCUCUUGGGCUGAUGAUGAUGAACAAUACAAGGGAGAACAGCCUUGCGAGGGUCUGUUCUUGGCUGGGGGGAUGAACUGCUGGGAGGAGUUCAGUCACCCUUCUCUCUCUCUCUCUUCUCAAUUGUCCCUUCUCUAAACCCUAACCUCUCAGCCCCUCUAUCCUUCGAUCCUCCGAUCCUUCGAUCCUCUCCCUCUUCCAUUCUUCGGGUGGCUGGUCUUAUUUAUAGAGGCCCUGGUCCUCUUCCCGAAUAUCGAGCGGGAAGGGAGCCAACAAUGGCGGGCUAAUUUGAAAGGGGACAACUAGUACCGGCUAUCCUGACAAAAGUAGUCUUCGCCUGCACAAAGCUCUGGUGGUGACGCCGUCUUGGGCUCCACGAUGACCUCCGUCUUGCAGUCCUCCUGGUCUUGGUCUUGUUGCACCAAAAUUGCAACCUUUGCCUGAUGCCUCGGUACUCCGCGGUUGUGCUUGCCCCCUUUGCACCAAAGAGGAAAGGAGGACACUGCGCGGGCUGGCACCCGCCUGGCGCCCUUGGUCGUCAUGGCUUGCAUCACGGGCACCUCGUGAGGUACCCCGCCUUGAUCUCUUCACCUCCUGGUGAGCCAGCCUGAUGAGGCCGUGCCUGAGGAAGUUCUGCGUCGUCCGCCCCGCGAGGCUUGGCCCCUCGCGAGGGUCUUGGAUUUGUGUUGGUGAAGAUGGGUCGUGCUGGGCCCCCCUUUGAUCCACACCGCAGGCCACAGGCAGGCAAGUAUGGGGACCCCCGUUCCCAGAACGCCGACAGAAUCGUUGUUGUCCUAAAGCAAUAUAAGGAGUAGGAGCGAGAGAGUGGGAUUUAUCGAAAUGCUCAAGGGGGUUACUUGCCUAAUAGAACGACGAAGGGGCACUGCUCCUCUGACAGGUACUCGGGAACACCUUCCGGAGUGGAACCUAUCAAGAAGAAACGGUGCCGGCAAUCAAUACACAAACAAUGCAACAAUAUGAUGCAUGAACAUGACAUGUGCAAAUGGUAGUGUUUGGGCUAAUGCAAGAUGCUACCAAAUUGGUUGAAGCCCAUUUGAAUCAAAUAUUCAAAUGCAAAUUCAAAAUGAAGCAUUUAAAAUGCCCAUAUUAUGUGUUCACUUAUACAGCAUGUAUAAGUUGGUUUUUCAUGCAUGUAACUGGCAUAAAUGGAUUCCUUGCAUUUUUUUGAUCAUUUUUCAUAUAUAAGUUAUUUCAUUCUGAGCUACGGUUGAAUUAUUAUGAUUUUUUGAAGUUUAAGCAAUAUUCUGGAAUUUCCUAAGUUAAAAAUAAUUCCAGAAAUCAUUUAUUGCAUCAGCUUGAGGUCAGCACUGCGUCAGCAGUCAACUGGGUUGACCCAGGUCAAACCUGACUAGUGGGACCCACUGGUCAGUGACUAACUAAACUAACCUAGUUUAAUUAGCACUAACCUAGGUUAAACUAAUUAGUUUUAAACCUAAACUAGACUAAUUAACCGGGCGGGGCCCGCAAGUCAUAGACUCAGGGGAGGUCAAAUCCCCUGGUCAACCGGGCAAACCUGCCAGUGGCUCGACGCCAGCGAGGCCAGACGCGGCGGUGCGCUGCGGGUUUCGCCUACCGAGCGCAGCUACGGGAUGCGGACGCUCGUUCGCAUCCAACCGUGGUGGUGGCGCGGCCGGGGAGUGGUCGGAAUGGUGCCGACGACGACGAGUGCAGCGGCCGGAGUUCGGCCAGGUGCGCGCGGGGUAUUGCGGGGCACAGCAGGAGCUGCGAGCAGGUCCGCUCGACUCGUCGGAGUGCACUGAGUGCAAUGGCGAGCUCGGUUGCGAGGUGCGAUGGCCCUGGCCACGGCGGCGCCACGGCCGGCAGCACGGAGCUGUUGGCUCCGGUGGCAGAGGCGGCUAGAGGAGAGGAACGAGCUCGAGGAGGAGGGGAAAAGGCGGCGAAGCUCACAGGGAGGCUAACGAAGGGCUCGGCAGGCGCAGGGACGGCCGGUGGACAGCAAAUCGACGGCGAGGGUCUCCGGGCACCGAAGUUGAAGAAAACGUCAGGGACGGCGUUGCAGGGCCUCCGGCGAAGCCUGACUCGGCGUGGAGGUUGAGGGAGACACGACAGAGCUUCUGGGCAUGUCCAGGGGGCGAGGGGGAGGCAGUGGCCGCGGCAACGGUGAGCGGUGGCGUCGGCUGCGCUCGGUGGCGCUGCGGGGAAGAGAAAACAGAGGAGGGGAGGAGCACGGGAGAGAGUGAGAGAGGUCUAGGGGUGCGUGGCGUCUCCAGGGACGUCCAGAGGGAGGCGGCAAGCAGGAGGUGGCCGGGCUUGCGCCGGUGUGCGUCGGCCACGCGCUCGGCGUCCUCCUGGCGCGGUGGAGACGCCGACUGGCAGGGCCAGCUGGCUGGGCCGGUCAGCUGGGCCGCACAGUGCCAGGCCUCAGGUACGUGGCCCAGGUAAGGGUUUUUCCCUUUUUGUUUCUUUUUCUAUUUUUCUGACAUUUGUUUGGUUUAAUAGAAAUACUAAACCAUUUUAUUUUCUUAUGCCAAUUUUUGUAGGGGCUAGUGGUAUUAUUCCAGAGCUCCUCAAUUACUAGCAUAAUUUUUGGACAAUAUUAUAUAUAUAUAUAUAACAAUAUAUAUCCAAAGCAAAUAAUUACUGCAUUAAUUCCAAUUGCCCAAAAUAAAUACUUAUGAGCUCCUGAAAAUGUUGGUUUGAUUUUUAUCUUUGUCCAAAAUUUUCAGAGAGCAACAUGAACAUUUUCUUGGUUCUUUUUGCAGCAAUUUUUAUCUGGGUCAUUUCCAGAAAUGAUUCUGAGGGUUUCACAAAUGCUCAUUUCAAAAUUAAAAGGAAUUUAAGCAUUAUGCACAAAUGACUAGCUAGUCUAGGUCAUACCAGAACUAGGGAUGUGACAAAUUGCCCCCACUCAAAAAAAUCUCGUCCCGAGAUUCAGGAGUUGGCGGAAAGAAAGCGGGGUACUCAAGUCGAAGACGAUCUUCUCGCUCCCAAGUAGCUUCUCUCUCGGAAUGAUGAGACCACUGAACCUUGAGAAACUUGAUGUUAUGACGUCGAGUGACACGCUCUGCUUGAUCCAAAAUGCGAACGGGAUACUCUCGAUAAGUGAGGUUAUCUUGGAGAUCAAGCGUUUCGUGGUCCACUCCGCGGAUGGGAUCCGAGAAGCAAUGCCUCAGUUGAGAGACGUGGAAGACAUCAUGAACUCGAGAAAGAUGUGGGGGUAGUUCCAACUGGUAGGCAACCUCUCCUCGUUUAGCGAGAAUGCGAAAAGGACCAAUGUAACGAGGAGCCAACUUGCCCUUGAUACCGAAACGAUGGGUACCCUUCAAAGGAGUAACCCAAAGGUAAGCCUUGUCACCAACUUCAUAUGCCACUUCCUUAUGAUGACGGUCAUACUGGCUCUUUUGACGAGAUUGGGCUGUUUUCAAAUUCUCACGAAUAAUGCGAACGUGAUCUUCUGCUUCCUGAAUCAUAUCCGGCCCAAAGAAUUGUCUUUCACCGGUUUCUGACUAGUUCCAAGGUGUUCGACAUCUUCUUCCAUACAGAAUCUCAAAAGGAGCUUUCUUAAGACUGGAUUGAUAGCUAUUGUUAUAAGCAAACUCGGCGAAAGGAAGACACUUAUCCCAAUCCAUACCGACUGAGAUAACACAAGCUCUAAGCAUGUCCUCGAGAAUUUGGUUGACCAUUUCCACCUGACCACUUGACUGAGGGUGGAAAGCGGUACUGAAAGAAAGAUGGGUUCCCAUGGCAUUCUAUAAACUUUCCCAGAAAUGAGAGGUGAAAAGACUGCCACGGUCUGAAUUGAUCUCUAGUGGAACACCAUGGAGUGACACUAUUUGGAAGAUAUAUAAGUCAGCGAGCUGACUAGAAGUGAUACUCUCUCGAACAGGUAGGAAGUGAGCCACUUUGGAAAGACGAUCAAUGACUACGAAGAUAGCAUUAUUUCAUUUAUUGGUCCUGGGAAAGCCGGUGAUGAAGUCCAUACCAGCUUUGUCCCAUUUCCGCUCGGGAAUAGCUAAAGGUUGAAGGGUGCCAGCAGGUCUUUGAUGCUCUGCCUUAACGCGACAACAAACGUCACAGUUGGAAAUAUACUGAGCGAUUUCUCUCUUCAUCCUAGUCCACCAGAACCUCUAGCUUAGGUCCUGAUACAUCUCUGUACUACCGGGAUGAAUCGUGAGAGGGGAUUCAUGGGCCUCCUUAAGGAUCAAUUGCUGCAUCUGUUGACAUUUCGGAACCACCAAACGGUUUCCAAAGUAAACAACACCUCGUUCAUCCAUAGAGAAACAACCAGCAACUCCCUUGGAAAUAUUUUUCUUGAUCUGAGAGAUUCCCGUAUCAUGCUUCUGAGCCUCUAUGAUCUGAUCCGUAAGGGUAGGUUUCACCACCAAGGUAGAAAGGGAACCAUGAGGAGCUAUGUGAAGGUUAAGCUUACAGAAUUCCUCAUGGAGGGGUGGUUGACAUUGUUGCAACAUGAGGUUGUUGCAAUAGGAUUUACGACUUAAAGCAUCAGCCAUGACAUUGGCUUUACCUGGGGUGUAGGUGAUUCCUAAGUCGUAAUCCGAGAUCAACUCCAACCAACGUCUCUGUCUGAGAUUCAGAUCCGGUUGGGUGAAGAUAUACUUGAGACUUUGAUGGUCAGUGUAGAUUUCGCAACGGCUACCAAGAAGGUAAUAUCGCCAAGUCUUAAGUGUAGAGACUACGGCUGCAAGCUCUAGAUCAUGUGUAGGAUAAUUUUCCUCAUGUGGAUGCAACUAUCGAGAUGCAUAGGCAAUCACAUGACGAUCCUGCAUAAGAAUGCAACCUAGUCCUUGACGUGAAGCAUCGCAAUAGAUAACAAAGUCUUUAGUGAAAUCCGGUGGCACGAGUAUGGGCGCAGAAGUCAGGCGUCUUUUCAGUUCCUGAAAACUGUGCUCACACUGUGGGGUCCACUCAAACCUUUUAUCUUUCUUGAGAAGUUCCAUGAGGGGUUUGGCCACUUUGGAGAAGUUUUCAAUGAAGCGGCGACAAUAACUGGCUAGACCAAGGAAACUCCUAACUUGCUUGACCGUUUCGGGUGGAGUCCAAUCGAGAACGGCUUUAACUCUCUCGGGAUUGACAGCAAUGCCCUUACCAGAGAUCAUGUGGCCCAGAUAGGUCACUUCCGGCAACCAAAAUUCACACUUGGAGAACUUGGCAUAAAGGCGGUGCUCUAUGAGUUUUUCUAACACAAGUCUAAGAUGUUCGGCAUGCUCUUCCUCGUUCUUCGAGUAAAUAAGAAUAUCAUCGAGGUAAACCACGACGAACUUAUCUAAGUACUACAUGAAGAUCGAGUUCAUCAAGCGGGAGAAAGUAGCUGGAGCAUUGGUUAGGCCGAAAGACAUCACGGUGUACUCGUAUUGACCAUAACGAGUGACAAAGGCCGUUUUGGGGAUGUCCCCAUUUCUGAUUUUGAUUUGGUGGUAGCCUAACCUCAAAUCCAUCUUGGAAAAUACUGAGGAUCCAACGAGCUGAUCAUACAGGUCGUUGAUCCUGGGGAGCAGAUACUUGUUCUUUAUCGUGACCAAAUUAACGGGAUGAUAAUCUACAACCAUCCGAUCCGUACCAUCCUUCUUCUUGACGAAGAGGACAGGACAAGCCCAAGGAGAAGAACUGGGACGGAUGAAACCCUUUUGCAAGGACUCAUCAAGUUGUUUCUUAAGCUCGGCUAACUCCAAAGGUGCCAUCUUGUAUGGUCUCCUAGAGAUUGGAACAGUUCCUGGGAUAAGUUCUAUGACAAACUCUACAUCUUUGUCAGGUGGGACACCUGGCAGUUCUUCUGGAAAGACAUCCGGGAAGUCACGGACUACCGGAAUAUCUUCAAGGUCUGGAAGAGGGCUGGCAUUAAGAGAAUAGAGUUGACGCCUUGCAACUCUAGUGGAGACAGUGACUAUUUUGCCAGAUGGAUGUGUAAGUUGAACAGAUCUAGUGUAACAAUCGAUUUUGGCAUGAUGAGCUGUCAUCCAGUCCAUGCCCAAGAUGAUGUUAAUAUCUGAAGACUUGAGAGAUAUCAAAGAAGCAAGAAAUACCAGUCUGUCAACAAGGAUUUCAUUACCAUGGCUUACCUUGAAGGUUUGCCAUUUGGAACCAGGAGUCUGGAUUAUUAGUGGAGUUGGCAUAUCACAAAAUGACAUGUCGUGCAACUGAGCAUAACCUUCGGAUAUGAAGGAGUGAGAUGCUCCAGUAUCGAACAUAACUGAAGCUGGGUGACAAUUGACAAGAAGUGUUCCCAAUACGAUGUCUGGAUCAUCUUGAGCUUCUGUAGCUGAGACGUGGUGCACACAUGCUUGUUCAGUGGUGGCUGGCUUGGUACUGAUCAUCUUGCCUGAUGGCUUAUCACGGCCAACAUACCUCUCGGACUGGGGUGGAGUAUAACUGAACUGAGGGCAGUCACGUGCAUAAUGUCCUAGUUCUUCGCAGGUGAAGCAAGUUCCUAAGGUAGGACGUGGACCUACUUUGGCAAGUGGUCCACUAAUAGGCCUGGGUGGAGCACGUUGCUGAGCUGGGUGAGGCGCCACAUCAGAUGGCCUCGGUGCAUAUCCAGGUGGAAGAGCUGAGUUCAGAAUCCAAAUCCGUCGCUUCUGAGAGCCAGAGCGGGAGGAAGAACCCAUAUCACGGUUGUGCUUACGAGACUCCUCGUAAGUGAGAUGAGCUGUCUCUGCAUUGAUGGCCUUGUUCACAAGAGCCUGGAAUGAAUCACAAUGAUGCAGGUGGAGAUCACGACGCAACUUAGGGUUGAGACCCUUCCGGAACCUAGCCUGCUUCUAGGCGUCCGUGGACACUUCUUCUGUAGCAUAGCGGGCGAGGUUUCCAAACUCUCUACUGUAAGCAUCAAUAGGCAGCUUACCCUGGGUAAAACUACAGAACUCCUCCCUCUUGCGGUCGAUGAGAUCCUGAGGAAUGUGGUGCUCACGAAAAGCCUUGGUGAAAUCCUUCCAGGUAGGAAUCUGGCCAGUUGGAAGCAUAGCCUCAUAGCUCUGCCACCAAAUACUAGCAGGACCUUCCAGGUGAUAGGUAGCAUAGGUGACCUUGUCACCUUCAACCACGUUCGCAGAACACAGCUUAAGAGUGAUGCUUCGGAGUCAGUCAUCUGCAUCGAGUGUCUCAAUGGAAUGAUGGAAGGUGGGUGGUUUCAGACCAAUGAAGUCAGUGAUGGAAACCAACUUCUUACACUGAUGGGCGGUGUUCCGCUCAAUCUGUGCCAGCAAGCGGUUAGUCUCACGCUUGUUCCUCUCAGAUGCUAACAAGAACUCUGCCAUCAAAGGCUGGUCAGGAGGAUCCUCGUCCCUACCAUCUCCGUGGUUCUUGCUAUGAGCAACUGAACCUCGGUUAGGAGACGACAUCCAGGCACAGAAACCAAGGAAACAAGGAUGGAAUUAGCAUCGACAUAAGGAUGCGGAAUGUAAUGCAAAAGCAUUGGAAACUCUUGAAAUCCUAAAACAAUUUAGGCAUCAUAAUGGAUGUAAAUGCUCAAAAAGAUUUUGAGACAUUCAUCAAAGGAAUAGCAUAAUCACUCAACAUCAUAAUAUCAAGGUUCUGGGUCAAACUGAUGACAAACGGAAGUAGUAGAACUGAACAGAGACACAAACCCAACAAUCCUAAGACUUUACGGUUUAGUAACACGUCAUCCUGAGAGAUAGAGGAGAAGCCUAGUCUUUAACCCUCGUAGAAAAGAAGAGGUUGACUCAGAAAGAAUGACAUGAGGUAAAGGAGUAAAAAGAGCCUUACGUUCCCUUCCACAAUCAAUUCCCUUAUAUAACUAAAGCAUUUCUAGACUCAACUUCGACCAAUUUGGCUUGGUAAUCCUACAGUCAGUCAAGCUCUGAUACCAACGCUGUCGGGACCCUGAUUCUAAGUCACACCGAUCUAGCAUGUAACACCUCAUAUCACUUUGCGGCCUCACGCAUGGUAUUCCCAUGGGUGUCUCCUUACCAUGGCCUGGGACCGUUUGCGCCUUUUGGCUCAAGUAUAUGAUAGUGUCGCUAGCAUCCAUAUGACAGAGAACCCGGGCCGACAUGACUAGUCGUGAACCCAAAGUGGCACUAACUUACAGGGACAUGCAUACGUGAAACAACAUCGAGCAUGUCGGUCAGCAACGUGUGAAUCCAGGCUGUAGCAACUGGGCUAACAGGACUCCGGGAACCCGGGCUAUAGCAGGCUAGACAGGACUCCGGAUGUCACCGCGUGACAUUUCCCUGAAGGGACAGACACAUGAACGAAAUGAAUCACAUGCCGGCCAGUCUAAGUGUUCCGGAGCAGUAGUGCUGGGCUAGCAGGACUCCGGUCAAUCGGGCUGUAGCGGGCUACCAAGUCUCAGUGGAAGUACUAGACUACAUUUCCCCAUAAGAGAGGCUACCAAGGGUAAACAACUAGAUUGUCGGAUCCCACACAUAGCAAUACACGUUACACGUACGCAUAACAUGCAAGUAUGUGUUGUACAACAUGGCAUCACAACAUAACUCAAACUCAUAUAUAUAAAGGCCCAGAAGAGCCACAUAGCAUUCAAUACAAACAGGGGUCUCAUGACCCAUCACUAAGAGCAUACAAACAACGGAAGCAUUACAUGUCUGAGUACAGACACCUACAAAAGGAAAAGACUAAGAAGCCUGACUAAACAGGACCCUCCCAAGGGUACAAGAUCAUAGCUUGGAUACAAGCUACUCGUCACAGUCACUAGUGUAACCAACUGCAAAACAUAAAUAAGCAAAUGUGAGUAUGAAGGUACUCAGCAAGUCUUACAUCAGAACUAUCUACAUAUGCAACAUUAUCAACAAAGGGGGUGGUGGAGUUUUAACAACAGCAAGCCAGCUUUGACUCAGUGGCUAACCUAUACUACGAGUAUCAGAAACUUCUUUGAGGUGAGAAGACGCACACGAGUCCACAUAUUCACCAUAUCAAUACUCCACUAUGGAUCCGUUCCCGCCUCCCUACGAGAAGGCCAUCCAUAGCACUCACGCUUAUGUUGCGGAUUUUAAAGUAUCCACUUCAAGUUGUCUAUGUACUACAUAAGUCCUCCAAGUUUCCUUAUCCGAGGAAAACGACUAUUCGAAUAGAUAAUGUUAACCCUGCAGGGGUGUACUUCUUCACACACACUCUCGCCACUUAUCGCCCUGUACACGUCAUGUACCUCGGCAACCUUCAAGCAGAAGACGGGCGAGGGUGUCGGCCACAACCUGACUAACCACACAAGUCUCUCGUCCAGGUUUAUCGCCUAUUCGAGUUCCAUCCGCAAGGAGUUCCGGCCGAAGUCUCCAGUACGGCCCAAACGAUGUGUGCAGGGUUCCCAAGCCCACCAUCCGGGUGCCACUUGGUACACCGUGCCAUAGUGCCUAGUCUGUCCCAAGCCCGUCCCGUCGGACACCACCUGGUAGACAAGUAACACUACCUACAAACGCCAGAAACUAGUUGCAACUCCUGGACAGAUAUCAAGUGGAUUAAUAAGCCGAGAGGGGCCAGAUAACCGGAACCCAAUGUGUGGUAGUAACUGGACUUGGAUAACAUACACAGAACUCAGUGCUUAGGGACAGUUCCAAUGAGACAACCCACCAUGUACUCGUACAUGGCCUCUCAUCGCUACCUUUACCAAAAUGUGUUCACACACUUAGCCUUUAUCGGUAGGACAUGUUCACCACUCCGAUUCAUUCCCGAUGAAUCAGACCUGACACAACUCUAAGCAUAGCUGGCAUAAAGAAAACAAGCAUGGAUGAGUAGGCACAUCAAGGCUCAAGCAACUCCUACUCAUGCUAGUGAGUUUCAACUAUUUACUGUGGCAAUGACAGGUCAUGCAGAGGAAUGGGUUCAACUACCGCAGCAGAAAGUAACAGUUGACUCGUUGUUGUCCUAAUGCAAUAUAAGGAGCAGGAGCGAGAGAGUGGGAUUUAUCGAAAUGCUCAAGGGGGGUUGCUUGCCUAAUAGAACGACGAAGGGCCACUGCUCCUCUGACAGGUACUCAGGAACACCUUCCGGAGUGGAACCUAUCGAGAAGAAACGGUGCCGGCAAUCAAUACACAAACAAUGCAACAAUAUGAUGCAUGAACAUGACAUGUGCAAAUGGUAGUGUUUGGGAUAAUGCAAGAUGCUACCAAAUUGGUUGAAGCCCAUUUGAAUCAAAUAUUUAAAUGCAAAUUCAAAAUGAAGCAUUUAAAAUGCCCAUAUUAUGUUUUCACUUAUACAGCAUUUAUAAGUUGGUUUUUCAUGCAUGUAACUGGCAUAAAUGGAUUCCUUGCAUUUUUCUGAUCAUUUUUCAUAUAUAAGUUAUUUCAUUCUGAGCUACGGUUGAAUUAUUAUGAUUUUUUGAAGUUUAAGCAAUAUUCUGGAAUUUCCUGAGUUAAAAAUAAUUCCAGAAAUCAUUUAUUGCGACAGCUUGAGGUCAGCACUGCGUCAGCAGUCAACUGGGUUGACCCAGGUCAAACCUGACCAGUGGGACCCACUGGUCAGUGACUAACUAAACUAACCUAGUUUAAUUAGCACUAAUCUAGGUUAAACUAAUUAGUUUUAAACCUAAACUAGACUAAUUAACCGGGCGGGGCCCGCAUGUCAUAGACCCAGGGGAGGUCAAAUCCCCUGGUCAACCGGGCAAACCUACCGGCGACUCGACGCUGGCGAGGCCAGACGCGGCGGUGCGCUGCGGGUUUCGCCUACCGGGCGCCAUUUGGCGCGCGGAGCGCAACUACGGGAUGCGGACGCUCGUCCGCAUCCAACCGUGGUGGUAGCGCGGCCGGGGAGUGGCCGGAAUGGCGCCGGCGAUAACGAGUGCGGCGGCCGGAGUUUGGCCAGGUGUGCGCGGGGUAUUGCGGGGCACGACAGGAGCUGCAAGCAGGUCCGCUCGACUCACCGAAGUGCACUGUGUGCAAUGGCUGCGAUGGCCCUGGCCACGGCGGCGCCAUGGCCGGCGGCACGGAGCUCUCGGCUCCGGUGGCAGAGGCGGCUAGAGGAGAGGAACGAGCUCGAGGAGGAGGGGAAAAGGCGGAGGAGCUCACAGAGAGGCUAACGGAGGGCUCGGCAGGCGCGGGGACGGCUGGUGGGCAGCAAAUCGACGGCGAGGGUCUCCGGGCACCGAAGUUGAAGAAGACGUCGGGGACAGCAUUGCAGGGCCUCCGGCGAAGCCUGGCUCGACGUGGAGGUUGAGGGAGACACGGCAGAGCUUCUGGGCAUGUCCAGGGGGCGAGGGGGAGGCAGUGGCCGCGGCAACGGCGUGUGGUGGCGUCGGCUGCGCUCGGUGGCGCUGCGGGGAAGAGAAAACAGAGGAGGGGAGGAGCACGGAAGAGAGUGAGAGAGGUCCAGGGGUGCGUGGCGUCUCCAGGGACGUCCAGAGGGAGGCAGCAAGCAGGAGGUGGCCGGGCGUGCGCCGGCGUGCAUCGGCCACACGCUCGGCGUCCUCAUGGCGCGGUGGAGACGACGACUGGCAGGGCCAGCUGGCUGGGCCGGUCAGCUGGGCCGAAUAGUGCCAGGCCUCAGGUAAGUGGCCCAGGUAAGGGUUUUUCCCUUUUUGUUUCUUUUUCUAUUUUUCUGACAUUUGUUUGGUUUAAUAGAAAUACUAAACCAUUUUAUUUUCUUAUGCCAAUUUUUGUAGGGGCUAGUGGUAUUAUUCCAGAGCUCCUCAAUUACUAGCAUAAUUUUUGGACAAUAUUAUAUAUAUAUAUAACAAUAUAUGUUGAAAGCAAAUAAUUACUGCAUUAAUUCCAAUUGCCCAACAUAAAUACUUAUGAGCUCCUGAAAAUGUUGGUUUGAUUUUCAUCUCUGUCCAAAAUAUUCAGAGAGCAACAUGAACAUUUUCUUGGACCUUUUUGAAGCAAUUUUUAUCUGGGUCAUUUCCAGAAAUGAUUCUAAGGGUUUCACAAAUCCUCAUUUCAAAAUUAAAAGGAAUUUAAACAUGAUGCACAAAUGACUAGCUUGUCUAGGUCAUACCAGAGCUAGGGAUGUGACAAAAUUGCUAGACCAAUGGAAUUAACCAGAAUGCAAGUAUGCAAGAAUUCCCAGAACAACAGGUUGUUGAAGAUUUUCGAAAGAUCAAAUAGUAUUUUGAAGUCUUUUGCGGAACACAAGAACAACUGGGAAUGAGUGGAUACUCGAUAAGUGCGAGGAAUUAUCCGUAUUGGUAUUUCUGCGGCAAGGAACUUCAAGGCAGUGGUACAAGCGAUUCUUAAGAGUCGGAGAGCAAUUCGAUGCAUCUUGUAAUAACAGGAGAAACUCAGAGUAAUUGUAUGAACAACAAGUGUAUGUCGUUAUCCAUAUGGAUAUAUCGGUAAUAGGGAAUUGAAAAGGCAGAGGGCACAAGGGUCUCGGGAAUGAUCAAAGAGUAUCUUCAAAAUCUUCUGGUGCAGUAGGCGAUCAUCUGUGAUAAGGGGCUCUCCGGGAAAGUAGUUACGAGAACCUAGAGUUAGAGUUAGCAAAAUCAUUUAACCCGAAUAGAAGAGAGAUCAGAGUCCCAGAGUAUAGACAAGGAGUAAAAGAUCCUAGUACCACCCAAUGGCGACAUGGGCCCAUGGGCCGCACAACCAUGUUAGUAAAAUAGUUUUCAUCGACUAGACUCAACUUCGGCCAAAGAGUGUGGAAGGGGGAUUCCUACAGGCAGUCGGCUCUGAUACCAACUUGUGAUGUCCUCGAUUCAAUCGUACACUAAUCAUACAUGCAAAUGUGUACAAUUAAGAUCAAGGAUUCAUGGGAAGAUAUCACAACACAACUCUAGACACAAAUUAAAAUAAUACAAGCUUUAUAUUACAAGCCAGGGGCCUCGAGGGCUCGAAUACAUAAGCUCGAAUAUACAAGAGUCAACGGAAGCAACAAUAUCUGAGUAUAGACAUGAGUUAAACAAGUUUGCCUUAAGAAGACUAGCACAAAAACAAUAACGAUCGAAAAGGCAAUGCCUCCUGCAUGGGAUCCUCCUAACUACUCUAAGUCGUCAGCGGCCGUCACGUAGUAGUAGGCACCCUCAGGGUAGCAGUAGUCUUCAGUGGUGUCGUCUGGCUCCUGGGAUCCGUCAUCUGGUCGCAACAACCAGGUAUGGGGGAAAAAGAGGUAGCAAAGCAACCGUGAGUACUCAUCCAAAGUACUCGCAAGACUUACAUCAGAUCUAAACUAAGUGUGCAUCUAUAUCAAAGGAAAUGGGCCGUAUCCGUGGACUAAACUGCAGAAUGCCAGAAGAGAAGGGGAAAAGCCUAGCCUAUCAAAGACUAGCAUCUUCUGGAACCCACCAUCUUGCAGCAAUAGGAGGGAGUAGAGUAGCAUAAAGUAAAGUAGUAGAAGUGCUAUCAACCUCAGCCAGAGAUCCUUUCUUGACUCCCUGCGAGAAAGCAAUCCCAGAGCCGUACUGUCCAUUUCUCAUAUCCAUUCAUUUCUCAUCACAUGUAUACACUUCUAGUUGUAUCGAUCGGGAUACAACUCCAAGUGUCCGUUACCGUAGGACAGGCUAUUGAUAGAUGUUUUCUUCCCUGCAGGGGUGCACCAACUUACCCACCACAAUCGAUUAACUUCGGCCGGACACACUUUCCUAGGUCAUGCCCGGCCUCGACCAAACAAUAUGCCGCAACCCGACCUAGGCUUAAUAGAGAGGUCAGCACGCCGGACUAAACCUAUGCCCCCAGGGGCCUUGGGCCAUCGCCCCGGGAAUUCCUGCACGUUGCGUGGGCGGCCGGUGAGCAGACCUAGCUACCUCCUUCAACAAGGCAGGAGCUUACGCAGUCCAACCCGGCGUGUGCCGCUCAGUCGCUGACGUCUAUUAAACUUCGGCUGAUGUAUACGACGCAGAACGCCCAUAUAAUGCCCACGUGAUUGUUAGUGCUAUCAGGCCAGAGGCCCCUUGGAUCAAAUAUCCAAACCGUAGUGGAUUAGAUGCACGCGGUAAUGAGCAAAGACUCAUGAUUGAUGUGACCCCGUCGCCCCAUCUCGAGUACUUGCGACAAGGGCUAAGAAUGCCCGGCCACGCGUCGUAAGUAUCUCGCGGGCACCUUUCAGAUCAACCCGACCCCACAUCACUCACAAUUAAGCUCGCGCGGGUACCCCUCAGGGCCGACCCAUCUUUAGUAACAUGGCUCAGUGCAAAGUCAUAGUAACCAUAGUAACUGUGUGUCUAACACCAAGGGGAAAACCCGAGGAAUCACCCCCGGUGAAUUCCACUCGAUGUUGGCAUCAAGGUGAACGUAAAAGGAUCCACCCUCGAGGUUCACACUUGAGGGGUUGCACGACAGAGCCGUAACGGAAGUGGUUAAGGAGGAAAUCACCCUCGAUGAUCACGACUGAAUAGCUACACUACAGAGAUCUCACCAGGAGUGAUGUAUGAGGUUCACCCUCGGCACUCGAUAGUAACUCUGUAGUGUCGUACAACUAGGGGGUGAUGUGCGGUGUCGGGGCCUGGACGUCGAUCACGUUGAUCGAGUCAUCGAACAUAAAGCGAGGCAACUGGGACAAGGUGGGGUCACUGAUGGAUCUCUAACCAACAUAUACUAAGCAGUUUAGGAUAAGCAGGUAAGGUAUAAAAGUAGGUAACAACAACAGGGUAUGCAUCAUAGUAGGAUCAUACAAAAAGCAGUAGCAGUUCUAAUGCAAGCAUGAGAGGGAAAGAAAUGGGCGAUAUCGGAAUGCUCAAGAAGGGUUUGCUUGCCUGGUUGCUCUGGCAAGGAGGGGUCGUCGGGGAUGUAGUCAUACUCAGUCACAUCAACGUCGGUCUCGGGGUCUACCGGAGAAGAAGAUAGGGAGAAACAGUAAAUACAGGGCAAACAAAGCAUCACAAAAUAUAACAAGGCAAAACGCGGUGCCAGGGGUGACCUAACGCAAUACUAGGCGAUACUGGCGAAGGGGGAAAAUAUCCGGGAAAGUAUUCCCGGUGUUUCGUGUUUUCGGACAGAUGAACCGGAGGGGGAAACUUGCGUGUUCGCUAUGCUAGAGAUGUGUGGCGGACGAACGGACUAUGUAUUUGGAUUCGUCUCAUCGUUCUGAGCAACUUUCAUGUAGAAAACAUUUUUAUCCGAGUUACGAAUUAUUUUCUAUGAUUUAUCAAAGUUUUAGGCAUUUUUUCUGGAUUUAUUAAAUUAUUUAAAACGAACAUUAUGCAGAAUAGUGCAUGCUGACGUCAGCAUGACGUUAGCAGUCAAUAGGGGUGUUGACUGGUCAACUCACAUGUGGGUCCCACAUGUCAUUGACUGUUUAGUCCAAUUAGGGUUUAACUAAUCUAGUUACUAUUUAGUUUAAUUAAUCAAAAUUAAUUAAGUUAAUUAAUUCUUUAAUUAAUUAAUUAAUUAUUGUUAUUGUUAUUUUUUUAGUUUUCAUUCUGGGGCGCUGGGGCCCAUCUGGCCACCGGAGCGGCUAUCGGGGCCACGGGAGCCGGCCGCUCGCCCGGACGGGCACGAGCGAGAGGACGCGUCGGGGUGCCGGCGCGGCGCCCGCCGGAGAGGGCCGUAGAGGGGGGUUGCGCGGGCGGGAGCGCUCAUGGCUGUGAGCGGAGGCGUGGGCGGACGAGGAGGGGCGUGGCCCCGGGCAGCAGCAGCGAAUGGGGACGGCGGGCGAGGAGCGACGCGGGCGUGGUUGGGAGCCGCUAUGAGGCGAGGCUCGGGGCUCGCGGCCCCGGUCAGGAGCACGUGCAACGGCCUACGGCGGUGAAUCGAGGAGGGGAGAGGGGGAGCGGCCGUGGGAGCUCACAGCGGAGGUCGGGGACGCAGUUGAGGGAGCCGGAGCUUGCCGGCGGUGACCGAUCCAGCGGCAAGGCGUCGUGGUCGAGGUGGAGGGCGACGGGUCGAUGGCGGCGCCUGGCAUGCGUCUGCGCUGUGGAGGGCGGCGGUGCUGAAGGAGAGCGAGGGGGAGGGAGCUCGGGCGUCGAGGACGGGCGCUCGCGGCAGGGAGCCCACCAUCCGGAGCGACGGCAUGGUCGGGUGCAGCGCGCGGGGCGUCCAGGUCGGGGAGGG